rnacentral:lncRNA from 1 species
CUUUUAUGGAGUCUGUAAUUGCAUAUAUUAAAUUAAGAUUUCUCUUGUGAACUCUUUAUAUAUUUUCAUACAUUCCUUUCACCCCUGCACCCCUACCUCCCCACCCCCACCAUGUUACUCAGCAUCACAAGACAUUAUAGCAAUUCUUCACACUCAGGUUUUGCUUUUUUUCCCCAACAGAAAGGUUUCAGAACAGCCACUGAGCAUUGUCACUUCAUCCAUCUCCCCUUUUCCAUCUGUUUGUGAACAUAGCAAAUAUCAGAGUUCUUCAGAAAAGCUCCUCUGGGACCACAGAGGUUUACCAUGGCCAGACGAAGUAUCCCAAAACUGCUUCAGGUUCAGGACACUCUACAGAAAUUCUUUAUUACUACAAAAGUAACUGAAAUGAAAAGCCAAGGAGAGGAAAAAAAACAUAGCAACCAACCACUGGAGGACCACACCAGAACGUUCCUGUCAAAGGCUGACCAGGAGUAACCUUUUUAUCUAUUUCCCAUGGUGUUUCUUGGAAAGCUCUGUGGAAGAGCAGAAGAGAAAAGCAAGAGCCUGUAUCCACAACAGCCUCUUUGCUUGUUCAGCUGCAUUUCUUUUUCUGUCUACACUCUCCUGGUUCAAGAGGAACGAACAAAGAAAAGAUGGGAGGAUGACCCUUCAUGAAACAGAAGUUUCUGUCACAAAGGCUUUCAGACACUGGGGCUUUCUUAUGCACUGUGGACAUAUAACUUAGUAAUGACUGGUUAUCAGCGUAAUUAAGCAGUUGUGGACCUAGUUAUCCAAUCACUGAAACUGAGGGCACAAACAGUGUAGUUGUACAGUGAACACACUCGUGUACUUGGUAUUAUGACAUUAUCCUUUCAGUGCCAUUCUAGAGUGGAGACAAUUCACUCCAUUUAUUAUUGUCCCUAUCUUUGGGGAAGUUUGUAGCAUACGUUUUUGGAAAAAAAAACAUUCUGGGUUUUCACAGAAGGCAGCUAACUAUAGCACUAUCAAGAGAUAUCUGGCAAGAAGGAGCACUAAUUCUCUCAAAUUCAGAUGACAUUGAAGUUAAAUUAGCUAGCUGAUCUGAGUUUCCUAUUCUGAAAGAUCUAUUUUGUGGAAAUUCUAUUCCUUUUAGAUGGUGAAAGUCAUAGCAGCCUCAUUAUCCAGAAAUUUGCAUGCAGAUGAGAUGAACAGACAGCGAGAACUGACUUUUUCCCCCUUCAUCUUAGCAGAAUAUUAGAGCUUAGUGCACACCACAAAAUGUAAACCCAGACCUAGCUUGGAAUAAAUUUCAGCGUUCUUCAUGUUAUCCUCUUGAC